rnacentral:rRNA from 1 species
CCUACGGGAGGCAGCAGUGGGGAAUAUUGGACAAUGGGCGAAAGCCUGAUCCAGCCAUGCCGCGUGUGUGAAGAAGGCCUUCGGGUUGUAAAGCACUUUCAGUGGGGAAGAAAGCCUUGGGGCUAAUACCCUCGAGGAAGGACAUCACCCACAGAAGAAGCACCGGCUAACUCCGUGCCAGCAGCCGCGGUAAUACGGAGGGUGCGAGCGUUAAUCGGAAUUACUGGGCGUAAAGCGCGCGUAGGCGGUCUGAUAAGCCGGUUGUGAAAGCCCCGGGCUCAACCUGGGAACGGCAUCCGGAACGGUCAGGCUAGAGUGCAGGAGAGGAAGGUAGAAUUCCCGGUGUAGCGGUGAAAUGCGUAGAGAUCGGGAGGAAUACCAGCGGCGAAGGCGGCCUUCUGGACUGACACUGACGCUGAGGUGCGAAAGCGUGGGUAGCAAACAGGAUUAGAUACCCCUGUAGUC